rnacentral:rRNA from 1 species
UCUCUGAUGUUAGCGGCGGACGGGUGAGUAACACGUGGAUAACCUACCUAUAAGACUGGGAUAACUUCGGGAAACCGGAGCUAAUACCGGAUAAUAUUUUGAACCGCAUGGUUCAAAAGUGAAAGACGGUCUUGCUGUCACUUAUAGAUGGAUCCGCGCUGCAUUAGCUAGUUGGUAAGGUAACGGCUUACCAAGGCAACGAUGCAUAGCCGACCUGAGAGGGUGAUCGGCCACACUGGAACUGAGACACGGUCCAGACUCCUACGGGAGGCAGCAGUAGGGAAUCUUCCGCAAUGGGCGAAAGCCUGACGGAGCAACGCCGCGUGAGUGAUGAAGGUCUUCGGAUCGUUAAACUCUGUUAUUAGGGAAGAACAUAUGUGUCAAGUAACUGUGCACAUCUUGACGGUACCUAAUCAGAAGCCACGGCUAACUACGUGCCAGCAGCCGCGGUAAUACGUAGGUGGCAAGCGUUAUCCGGAAUUAUUGGGCGUAAAGCGCGCGUAGUCGGUUUGUUAAGUCUGAUGUGAAAGCCCACGGCUCAACCGUGGAGGGUCAUUGGAAACUGGAAAACUUGAGUGCAGAAGAGGAACAGUGGAAUUCCAUGUGUAUCGGUGAAAUGCUCAGAGAUAUGGAGGAACACCAGUGGCGAAGGCGACUUUCUGGUCUGUAACUGACGCUGAUGUGCGAAAGCGUGGGGAUCAUAACAGGAUUAGAUACCCUGGUAGUCCACGCCUGUAAACGAUGAGUGCUCAAGUGUUAGGGGGUUUCCGCCCACUU